CACUCAGAGGCAUGACUGGGAUGUGCACCUGGGGUGGCAGAUACUAGGGGGAACACGGAUGAGGGGAUCCCUAACUUCUAGUGGCAUAGCAGGAUUACAGGCCUUGGAGACUCCUUUUCAACCUUGUUGGAUUUGAUAGAAGUGUCAUUUUAAGAUGAUGUUUGGAAAGGCCCAUGAAAAGAGCUUAAAACUGUAAGAUACGGGGGGAACAGGAAGUAUAGCCACUCGCAACUCAAAGUGGCAAAGAUUUAUCUGUGUGUUUGGUUUUACACAUGUGAUCAAGAGGCUGGGGAGAGACUGGUGGACUUUGAAGGAUUUUGAAUCAGAUGCAUGAAUGUUUCAAGCAUCCAAAUGUGACAGGAGGCUAAAACAACAGCUGCAUGAGAGCAGAAAAGCACCAAAAGAAGAGGAAAUUUUUUUGUAGUCACUGUUUCAGCCUUCAGAAACCAACUGUGAAAGCUCUUUGUGAGCACCAAAUAGCACAGUCAGAAAGGGAGAAAGAGGGACUGCCUGUCCCCAACAAGGACUCUUGUCCCACUGCGGUUUCCUUCGGUGACCUGUGGUAUGCCCAGGUCACAGAAAGAGCAUGGAUGAGAGACAGCCUGUGGUGUCAGCAGGGACUCCAGAGGCACAAGGGACAGAGACUGUAAAUUCUGGGGAAUGUACCUGAGAACACAGGAAUGCUCAGUUUUUAUUUUAUGAAAGACAAGUAUAGAUAUUUAGCUCAAAAAGGCUUUGAAAAUCAAUGUAGAUAGUAAGAAAAAGCAGUGAGAUUUUUCAAGUUGCUAAAGGAAAGAGCUCUGUACAGCAUAUCUUCUCUCCAUAUCAUGGUCUGGUCUGUGCUGUUCCCAUGGACUGCUGCUCUCCUCCUCGCUGGGGUCUGCACCAUCUGGAGCCAUGCCAGACAAACCUGAAGAUAUUCUGAAGCUCAGUGAAAAGCAUGGUGGCUACCUGCACUCCUAAUAUAUGUUAAGCAGACUGGAAAGCAUUUUGAAUUUUCCAGAACUUUCUGCCUCUGGCAAGGCCAGGAACUGUCAUGACUAAUAUUAUUUGGAAAUCUCUGAUCUGCAAAAGCAGGGCUCACCACAACCAGAAAGCAGAGCAGUGUUAAGAGUUGUAGGAGCAGAAAACACUUUUACAACCUUCCAUGACACAUCUAUGGGUUUGCACAUAGCCAAGGUUGUAGCUAAGUCAGAAUUAUUGAUGUGCCUACACAUGUGAACAAAUGGAAAAGUUUUGAGGGUUGAAAUGUUCUGAAGUAAAAACAUUUGGCACAUUGACCCAAGGGUCCAUUUAUUAUUCAGCUUCUUCUGUACUACCAAGUGUGACAUUGAGUUGAAAAUAAAAUUCUGAAUAAUUUGUUCACCCUGGACUUUAUUUUAUCUUUUGCUGCACUGUAGUAACUUUUGAGCAAUCCUGUUGAUGAGUCUUUUUAAUGCUCAGAACACUGCAGAAGUGACCUAGCUGUUUUCAACAAGACCAAAUUGUUCUCAAGAAGAUCUCAUGGUAAUUAGCAUAUUUUUGUGAAAGAUUUCAUUGUUAAUUCAUUUUGAGAUUGAAAAUUUUCAAGUAAUAAAUUAAAAGAACUGGACAUAGAAAUGUUGUUCUUAUUUUAAUGAUCUUACCCUAAUUUAGAAUAUCCCACCCAUGUUUUUACAUGUAGUCACAUUGUUUAUUUUGCUUUCCAUGAUUCCCAUUCAUUUUAAAAAAAGAAACAAAAAACCAAAACCCGAAGACAUCAUCAGCAUAUGCAUCUUGACUGCAAAACCACAGCAUUCCAGGCAAAUCCAGUGGUGUAGUCCUGCCAGAGGGCCUCAGGAGUGCACGUGUAUGCCAUGUAGUCAACAAAAAAUCACUGCAGAUUUCAUACAAAUGAAAUUUGCAUGGUUGUUGAUGAUCAGCUCUAUCUAACACAUGGUAUAUUUAGUAGUUUUGGUCACUAAUCUAUGAAAAAGAUUGUUGGAAGGGUUUGUUGGUUGUUUUGAUUCAAUUCCAAUACAUAAGAACAUCUUUGUUUUGCUGCUGCUGUGGUUAAUCAUUGCCAUAUUGUAGGAUUUCCUUGAUUGGUUUAUAUGUAUUACAUUUCAGUUUUCUAAUUCUAAGGGGGUGUUUUAUUUAUUUUCUUGCCACAAACAAUAAACACCCAUUAUAUGUGUAGAUAAGGAGAACUGUACAGGACAAAACCCUGCUGUAAACCAACAGUGAAAUAAAAGAGCAUAGAGAUGCUGUGCCAAAUAAACUAAGGUGAUGCCUUAAGACUUAAUGCACAGGAGCUGGGGCAGUUAGGCACAUUAAUGUUUUAAUCUGAUCAAGCUCCCAUCCAAAAGCUGUGUUUUAAAACCCUGGCAAAAUGAUUCAGGGUAUUUUUGCCAGACAAAGUAUCAGGCCUUCAGCAUUAAAA